rnacentral:rRNA from 1 species
GACGAACGCUGGCGGCGUGCCUAAUACAUGCAAGUCGAGCGGAGUUAUUUUGAAAGCUUGCUUUCAAAAUAACUUAGCGGCGGACGGGUGAGUAACACGUAGGCAACCUGCCCUUCAGACUGGGAUAACUACCGGAAACGGUAGCUAAUACCGGAUAAUUUCUUUUUUCUCCUGAGAGAAGAAUGAAAGACGGAGCAAUCUGUCACUGAGGGAUGGGCCUGCGGCGCAUUAGCUAGUUGGUGGGGUAACGGCCCACCAAGGCGACGAUGCGUAGCCGACCUGAGAGGGUGAACGGCCACACUGGGACUGAGACACGGCCCAGACUCCUACGGGAGGCAGCAGUAGGGAAUCUUCCGCAAUGGGCGAAAGCCUGACGGAGCAACGCCGCGUGAGUGAUGAAGGUUUUCGGAUCGUAAAGCUCUGUUGCCAGGGAAGAACGUCCGGUAGAGUAACUGCUACCGGAGU